AACUCCUUAAACUGAUAAACAACUUCAGCAAAGUCUCAGGAUACAAAAUCAAUGUGCAAAAAUCACAAGCAUUCCUUUACACCAACAAUAGACAAGCAGAGAGUCAAAUCAUGAAUGAACUCCGGAAAUAAGAGGGGACACAAGCAAAUGGAAAAACAUUCCCUUCUCAUGGAUAGGAAGAAUCAACAUUGUGAAAAUGGCCAUACUGCCCAAAGUAAUUUAUAGAUUUGUAAAACCCCAAACCAUAAAAACCCUAAGAAGAGUCAAGAAACAACAGAUGCUGGUGAGGCUGUGAAGAAAUAGGAACGUUUUUACACUGUUGGUGGUAAUGUAAAUUAGUUCAACCAUUGUGGAAGACAGUGCAGCGAUUCUCAAGGAUCGAGAACCAGAAAUACCAUUUGACCCAGCAAUCCCAUUACUGGGUAUAUACCCAAAGGAAUAUAAAUCUUUCUAAUAUAAAGACAUAUGCACACAUAUGUUUAUUGCAGCAUUAUUUACAAUAGCAAAGACAUGAAACCAACCCAAAUACCCACCAAUGAUAGACUAGGUAAAGAAAAUGUGGUACAUAUAUACCAUGGAAUACUAUGCAGCCAUAAAAAGGAAUGAAAUAAUGUCCUUUGCAGGGACAGGGAUGAAGCUGGAAGCCAUCAUCCUCAGCAAACUAACACAGGAACAGAAAACUAAACAUCACAUGUUCUCACUCAUAAGUGGGAGUUGAACAAU
rnacentral:lncRNA from 10 species